AUUACCCAAUCCUGACACAGGGAGGUAGUGACAAGAAAUAACAAAGCAAGUCUCUCAGAGGCGCUGCGUUGGAAUGAGUAGAAUUUAAAUCUCUUUACGACCAUCAAUUGGAGGGCAAGUCUGGUGCCAGCAGCCGCGGUAAUUCCAGCUCCAAUAGCGUAUAUUAAAGUUGUUGCGGUUAAAAAGCUCGUAGUUGGAUUUCUGUCUAGGGUGGCGGGUACCCACUAUGUGAAGUAUCUGGUUCAGUCUGGGCAUCCUCUUGGGGAUCGUUCCUGUGCUUGAUUGCAUGGGGCGGAAUUCAAGACUUUUACUUUGAGGAAAUUAGAGUGUUCACGGCAAGCUUUCGCUUUGAAUACAUUAGCAUGGAAUAAUGAUAUAGGGCAUAAGUUCUAUUUUGUUGGUUUCUAGAACAUAUGCAAUGAUUAAUAGGGAUAAUUGGGGGCACUCGUAUUAACGCGUCAGAGGUGGAAUUCUUAGAUUGCGUUACGACGAACUACUGCGAAAGCAUUUGCCAAGGAUGUUUUCAUUGAUCAAGAACGAAAGUAUGGGGAUCGAAGACGAUUAGAUACCGUCGUAGUCUAUACCAUAAACUAUGCCAACUAGAGAUUGGA
rnacentral:rRNA from 1 species